GAUUCAGUAGUGUAGGGGUAUCAUGGGCGCUUGCCAUCCAGCAAUUCUGCGCCCGACCGGGGUUCAAAUCCAGGCUGAAUCA